UGGAGGUCACUGUUAAAGGGGCGGGCACUAUGGAAGUCACUGUUAAAGGGGUGGGCACUGUGAAGGUCACUGUUAAAGAGGCGGGCACUGUGGAGGUCACUGUUAAAGGGGCAGACACUGUGGAGGUCAAUGUUAAAGGGGCGAGCACUGUGG